UGGGGAAUUGUUCACAAUGGGCGCAAGCCUGAUGACGCAACGCCGCGUGGGGGAUGAAGGUCUUCGGAUCGUAAACCCCUGUCGAAUGGGACGAAAGACUCGCGAGUGAAUACUUCGCGAGAGUGACGGUACCGUUAAAGGAAGCCACGGCUAACUCUGUGCCAGCAGCCGCGGUAAUACAGAGGUGGCAAGCGUUGUUCGGAAUUACUGGGCGUAAAGGGCGCGUAGGCGGCCCUCUAAGUCAGACGUGAAAUCCCCCGGCUUAACCUGGGAACUGCGUCUGAUACUGGAGGCUUGAGUAUGGGANAGGGAUGUAGAAUUCCAGGUGUAGCGGUGAAAUGCGUAGAUAUCUGGAGGAAUACCGGUGGCGAAGGCGGCAUCCUGGACCAUUACUGACGCUGAGGCGCGAAAGCUAGGGGAGCAAACGGGAUUAGAUACCCCUGUAGUCCCUGAGCGGGCUGGCAAGGCGCAU
rnacentral:rRNA from 1 species